rnacentral:rRNA from 1 species
CAGUAGCCGCGGUAAUACAGAGGGUGCGAGCGUUAAUCGGAUUUACUGGGCGUAAAGCGUGCGUAGGCGGCUUCUUAAGUCGGAUGUGAAAUCCCUGAGCUUAACUUAGGAAUUGCAUUCGAUACUGGGAAGCUAGAGUAUGGGAGAGGAUGAUAGAAUUCCAGGUGUAGCGGUGAAAUGCGUAGAGAUCUGGAGGAAUACCGAUGGCGAAGGCAGCCAUCUGGCCUAAUACUGACGCUGAGGUACGAAAGCAUGGGGAGCAAACAGGAUUAGAUACCCCCGUAGUCCCUGUCUCUUAUAA